rnacentral:rRNA from 1 species
AACGAACGCUGGCGGCAGGCUUAACACAUGCAAGUCGAGCGCCCCGCAAGGGGAGCGGCAGACGGGUGAGUAACGCGUGGGAAUCUACCCAUCUCUACGGAAUAACGCAUGGAAACGUGUGCUAAUACCGUAUACGUCCUUCGGGAGAAAGAUUUAUCGGAGAUGGAUGAGCCCGCGUUGGAUUAGCUAGUUGGUGGGGUAAAGGCCUACCAAGGCGACGAUCCAUAGCUGGUCUGAGAGGAUGAUCAGCCACGCUGGGACUGAGACACGGCCCAGACUCCUACGGGAGGCAGCAGUGGGGAAUAUUGGACAAUGGGCGCAAGCCUGAUCCAGCCAUGCCGCGUGAGUGAUGAAGGCCCUAGGGUUGUAAAGCUCUUUCACCGGUGAAGAUAAUGACGGUAACCGGAGAAGAAGCCCCGGCUAACUUCGUGCCAGCCGCCGCCGUAGUAA